UACGAAGGGGGCUAGCGUCGCUCGGAAUCACUGGGCGUAAAGCGCACGUAGGCGGACUCUUAAGUCGGUGGUGAAAUCCUGGAGCUCAACUCCAGAACUGCCUUCGAUACUGAGAGUCUCGAGUCCGGGAGAGGUGAGUGGAACUGCGAGUGUAGAGGUGAAAUUCGUAGAUAUUCGCAAGAACACCAGUGGCGAAGGCGGCUCACUGGCCCGGUACUGACGCUGAGGUGCGAAAGCGUGGGGAGCAAACAGG
rnacentral:rRNA from 1 species